CUUGAAGUGGGAAGAAAUCACCCGUAGCCAUUUUACCCAUUGUAGCGGCUGUUAAAACAGUUGUAUCUCCAUAACGUACAACAACAGCACCAUUUGCUUGUUUUGCAACUUGACCUGUUUCAACAGUUAAUGUCCGACCUGCAAAUUCGAUUGAAAAUGUUUCUUUUGCCAAUGUUUUUCUCCUUGACUUGAAAUGCUAUGAACUUUCUCUAACAGUCCAGUCUCCUGCUUUUGUAAUAUAUUUUAGCUUUAUGUUUUUCUAAACAAAA
rnacentral:antisense_RNA from 1 species